rnacentral:rRNA from 1 species
CCAAGGCCACGAUGCAUAGCCGACCUGAGAGGGUGAUCGGCCACAUUGGGACUGAGACACGGCCCAAACUCCUACGGGAGGCAGCAGUGGGGAAUAUUGCACAAUGGGGGAAACCCUGAUGUAGCAACGCCGCGUGAGUGAUGACGGCCUUCGGGUUGUAAAACUCUGUCUUUGGGGACGAUAAUGACGGUACCCAAGGAGGAAGCCACGGCUAACUAC